rnacentral:rRNA from 1 species
UGCAUAGGAAUCUGCCCGGUAGUGGGGGAUAACUUGAGGAAACUCAAGCUAAUACCGCAUACGCCCUACGGGGGAAAGCAGGGGCUCUUCGGACCUUGCGCUAUCGGAUGAGCUUAUGUCGGAUUAGCUGGUUGGUGAGGUAACGGCUCACCAAGGCGACGAUCCGUAGCUGGUCUGAGAGGAUGAUCAGCCACAUCGGGACUGAGACACGGCCCGAACUCCUACGGGAGGCAGCAGUGGGGAAUAUUGGACAAUGGGGGCAACCCUGAUCCAGCCAUGCCGCGUGUGUGAAGAAGGCCCUCGGGUUGUAAAGCACUUUCAGCGAGGAAGAAUGCUUGUCGGUUAAUACCCGGCAAGGGAGACAUCACUCGCAGAAGAAGCACCGGCUAACUCCGUGCCAGCAGCCGCGGUAAUACGGAGGGUGCGAGCGUUAAUCGGAAUUACUGGGCGUAAAGCGUGCGUAGGCGGCUUGAUAAGCCGGUUGUGAAAG